GUCUACAGCCAUACCACCCUGAACAUGCCCGAUCUCAUCUGAUCUCAGAAGCUGAGCAGGGUUGGGCCUGGUUAGUACUUGGAUGGGAGACCACCUAGGAAGACCAGGUGUUAAAGGCA
rnacentral:rRNA from 1 species